CAUAGGUUAAUGAGGCGAACCGGGGGAACUGAAACAUCUAAGUACCCCGAGGAAAAGAAAUCAACCGAGAUUCCCCCAGUAGCGGCGAGCGAACGGGGAGGAGCCCAGAGCCUGAAUCAGUGUGUGUGUUAGUGGAAGCGUCUGGAAAGGCGCGCGAUACAGGGUGACAGCCCCGUACACAAAAAUGCACAUGCUGUGAGCUCGAUGAGUAGGGCGGGACACGUGGUAUCCUGUCUGAAUAUGGGGGGACCAUCCUCCAAGGCUAAAUACUCCUGACUGACCGAUAGUGAACCAGUACCGUGAGGGAAAGGCGAAAAGAACCCCGGCGAGGGGAGUGAAAAAGAACCUGAAACCGUGUACGUACAAGCAGUGGGAGCACGCUUAGGCGUGUGACUGCGUACCUUUUGUAUAAUGGGUCAGCGACUUAUAUUCUGUAGCAAGGUUAACCGAAUAGGGGAGCCGAAGGGAAACCGAGUCUUAACUGGGCGUUAAGUUGCAGGGUAUAGACCCGAAACCCGGUGAUCUAGCCAUGGGCAGGUUGAAGGUUGGGUAACACUAACUGGAGGACCGAACCGACUAAUGUUGAAAAAUUAGCGGAUGACUUGUGGCUGGGGGUGAAAGGCCAAUCAAACCGGGAGAUAGCUGGUUCUCCCCGAAAGCUAUUUAGGUAGCGCCUCGUGAAUUCAUCUCCGGGGGUAGAGCACUGUUUCGGCAAGGGGGUCAUCCCGACUUACCAACCCGAUGCAAACUGCGAAUACCGGAGAAUGUUAUCACGGGAGACACACGGCGGGUGCUAACGUCCGUCGUGAAGAGGGAAACAACCCAGACCGCCAGCUAAGGUCCCAAAGUCAUGGUUAAGUGGGAAACGAUGUGGGAAGGCCCAGACAGCCAGGAUGUUGGCUUAGAAGCAGCCAUCAUUUAAAGAAAGCGUAAUAGCUCACUGGUCGAGUCGGCCUGCGCGGAAGAUGUAACGGGGCUAAACCAUGCACCGAAGCUGCGGCAGCGACGCUGAUGCGUUGUUGGGUAGGGGAGCGUUCUGUAAGCCUGCGAAGGUGUGCUGUGAGGCAUGCUGGAGGUAUCAGAAGUGCGAAUGCUGACAUAAGUAACGAUAAAGCGGGUGAAAAGCCCGCUCGCCGGAAGACCAAGGGUUCCUGUCCAACGUUAAUCGGGGCAGGGUGAGUCGACCCCUAAGGCGAGGCCGAAAGGCGUAGUCGAUGGGAAACAGGUUAAUAUUCCUGUACUUGGUGUUACUGCGAAGGGGGGACGGAGAAGGCUAUGUUGGCCGGGCGACGGUUGUCCCGGUUUAAGCGUGUAGGCUGGUUUUCCAGGCAAAUCCGGAAAAUCAAGGCUGAGGCGUGAUGACGAGGCACUACGGUGCUGAAGCAACAAAUGCCCUGCUUCCAGGAAAAGCCUCUAAGCAUCAGGUAACAUCAAAUCGUACCCCAAACCGACACAGGUGGUCAGGUAGAGAAUACCAAGGCGCUUGAGAGAACUCGGGUGAAGGAACUAGGCAAAAUGGUGCCGUAACUUCGGGAGAAGGCACGCUGAUAUGUAGGUGAAGCGACUUGCUCGUGGAGCUGAAAUCAGUCGAAGAUACCAGCUGGCUGCAACUGUUUAUUAAAAACACAGCACUGUGCAAACACGAAAGUGGACGUAUACGGUGUGACGCCUGCCCGGUGCCGGAAGGUUAAUUGAUGGGGUUAGCGCAAGCGAAGCUCUUGAUCGAAGCCCCGGUAAACGGCGGCCGUAACUAUAACGGUCCUAAGGUAGCGAAAUUCCUUGUCGGGUAAGUUCCGACCUGCACGAAUGGCGUAAUGAUGGCCAGGCUGUCUCCACCCGAGACUCAGUGAAAUUGAACUCGCUGUGAAGAUGCAGUGUACCCGCGGCAAGACGGAAAGACCCCGUGAACCUUUACUAUAGCUUGACACUGAACAUUGAGCCUUGAUGUGUAGGAUAGGUGGGAGGCUUUGAAGUGUGGACGCCAGUCUGCAUGGAGCCGACCUUGAAAUACCACCCUUUAAUGUUUGAUGUUCUAACGUGGACCCGUAAUCCGGGUUGCGGACAGUGUCUGGUGGGUAGUUUGACUGGGGCGGUCUCCUCCUAAAGAGUAACGGAGGAGCACGAAGGUUGGCUAAUCCUGGUCGGACAUCAGGAGGUUAGUGCAAUGGCAUAAGCCAGCUUGACUGCGAGCGUGACGGCGCGAGCAGGUGCGAAAGCAGGUCAUAGUGAUCCGGUGGUUCUGAAUGGAAGGGCCAUCGCUCAACGGAUAAAAGGUACUCCGGGGAUAACAGGCUGAUACCGCCCAAGAGUUCAUAUCGACGGCGGUGUUUGGCACCUCGAUGUCGGCUCAUCACAUCCUGGGGCUGAAGUAGGUCCCAAGGGUAUGGCUGUUCGCCAUUUAAAGUGGUACGCGAGCUGGGUUUAGAACGUCGUGAGACAGUUCGGUCCCUAUCUGCCGUGGGCGCUGGAGAACUGAGGGGGGCUGCUCCUAGUACGAGAGGACCGGAGUGGACGCAUCACUGGUGUUCGGGUUGUCAUGCCAAUGGCACUGCCCGGUAGCUAAAUGCGGAAGAGAUAAGUGCUGAAAGCAUCUAAGCACGAAACUUGCCCCGAGAUGAGUUCUCCCUGACUCCUUGAGAGUCCUGAAGGAACGUUGAAGACGACGACGUUGAUAGGCCGGGUGUGUAAGCGCAGCGAUGCGUUGAGCUAACCGGUACUAAUGAACCGUGAG
rnacentral:rRNA from 1 species